UACCAGCUCUCCGAGUGGUGUGGAUGUUUAUUGGGCCUAAAGCAUCCGUAGCUGGCUGGGCAAGUCCCCUGUUAAAUCCACCGAUUCAAUCGUUGGAGUGCGGGGGAUACUGCUCGGCUAGGGGACGGGAGAGGCAGACGGUAUUUCCGUGGUAGGGGUGAAAUCCUAUAAUCCCGGGAAGACCACCAGUGGCGAAGGCUGUCUGCUAGAACGCGCCCGACGGUGAGGGAUGAAAGCUGGGGGAGCGAACCGGAUUAGAUACCCGGGUAGUCCCAGCUGUAAACGAUGCAGGCUAGGUGUUUGGACGGCCACGAGCCGUUCUAGUGCCGCAGGGAAGCCGUUAAGCCUGCCGCCUGGGGAGUACGGCCGCAAGGCUGAAACUUAAGGAAUUGGCGGGGAGCACCACAAGGGGUGAAGCUUGCGGUUU
rnacentral:rRNA from 1 species